rnacentral:rRNA from 1 species
GACGAACGCUGGCGGCGUGCUUAACACAUGCAAGUCGAACGGAAAGGCCCUGCUUUUGUGGGGUUCUCGAGUGGCGAACGGGUGAGUAACACGUGAGUAACCUGCCCUUGACUUUGGGAUAACUUCAGGCAACUGGGGCUAAUACCGGAUAGGAGCUCCUGCUGCAUGGUGGGGGUUGGAAAGUUUCGGCGGUUGGGGAUGGACUCGCGGCUUAUCAGCUUGUUGGUGGGGUAGUGGCUUACCAAGGCUUUGACGGGUAGCCGGCAUGAGAGGGUGACCGGAGACAUUGGGACUGAGAGAAGGCCCAGAGUCCUACGGGAGGCAGCAGGGGGGAAGAUUGCACAAUGGGCGGAAGCCUGAUGCAGAAACGCCGCGUGCGGGAAGACGGCCUUCGGGUUGUAAACAGCUUUCGCCUGUGACGAAGCGUGAGUGACGGUAAUGGGUAAAGAAGCACCGGCUAACUACGUG